rnacentral:rRNA from 1 species
UACAGAGGGUGCAAGCGUUGUUCGGAAUUAUUGGGCGUAAAGCGCGUGUAGGCGGCUUUGCAAGUCGGGUGUGAAAGCCCUCGGCUCAACCGAGGAAGUGCGCCCGAAACUGCAGAGCUUGAGUACCGGAGAGGAUGGCGGAAUUCCCCAAGUAGAGGUGAAAUUCGUAGAUAUGGGGAGGAACACCGGUGGCGAAGGCGGCAUCCUGGACCGGUAUUGACGCUGAGGCGCGAAAGCCAGGGGAGCAAACGGG